AAUUCAAUGUAUUAUAUCUAUCUGAAAUGAUAUUUGAGUGUUGAAAUUUGAGUGACAAAGUCGGGCCUGAUUGUGCAGUCCAACCGGCCGCCAUCUUGUUUUCGCAUGGACGGCAGACGAAAGAAAGAUGGUGGCCCCCAUACAUUGCGAACAAUUUUUGUUUUCCUGUGAGAAUCUGGAAGCGAAUUUGGUGUUUCUCUUAUACAGUGGCAAGAGUUACAGUCUCUAAAAUAUAAUAAAACCACUUUUACAUCUGUAGAUGGUAUUUUCGAGUUGUUGAUGCUUUGUUGAGCUACUUGUGUGUGUUAACACUUGUUGAUGCUGAACAGCAUGACUGUCUGCUUCUGCUUGGUGGCUCCAAGCAGAAGUCCAAUCACUAAGCUUCUGGCUGUCCUGUACAGAUGACGCUGUAGGGAUCUGGUUGCAACUAAAAAAUCAUUUGUGAAGUAAACUUGUUGGAACAGCAUGUCAAGAUCAUUCCUGUCAAUUUGGGUCUUGAAGGGGCCAAGAGUUGCAGAAGAUCUGGUUGUUUACUUCUUUGAGAAUUCAAAGUCACUACUCUGUGUGACUUUGAGUGCACUUUGUUUACAUGGUGUUGUGACGCUACAGGGUUUUGAAAAGUGCUUUGCUAGGGUCAGGUAGUUGUAGAUGAGAAAACCUCUGUUUGCACUUUCUGGAGCGAAUCUACCCCUUAAUAUAAGAAAUAUCCGGGUUCAAUCAAAGUCACAGGGAGUAGUGACUCUGAAUUCUUGAAGUAUGGCUUGGUUAGGUAGCGAAUUCCAUUCUGGAAUCAUCCAGGGGUACAGUGAGUGGAUUUUGUUGGCCAGGAUACGGUUGUAGGGAUGUCAGACAACUCAACUGUUUGCCAAUUUGACUUUGGACAACUCGACCAUUGAGACAACUCAACCAUUAGCCAAGUCAUCCGUUAGGACAACUUGACUUUGACAGAGAGACAACUCGACCAGUGAGAUCUCUACACAGUCAUUUUCUCAGUUCCAGAUUGCAAAAAUACUUGAAUUCCAGUGAAAUGUGGUCCCCAUCCACCUUGGGUGUUAGAGAUACUACCAAGUUAAUUUCAAUUUUUGAACUUCUAAUUCGGACGUACAGGGUCAAUGCAAGUGGUGACACUUUUCCUCGUUCUGGAUUGGUUUCAGGAAAGUAACCAUGCAAGUGGCAAAUCCAUUUUCAAUCAUUGUAAAAAGUUUAUUUUGUAAUGAAAAAAUUUUUAAUGUAGAGAAAAUUGGUUCAUAAAUAAGAAUUCCAGUGAAAAAAAGUCAAUCUUGCGUAAAUUUUGACUCAACCUUUUCAGUUGCACAGUGCGAGCCAUCAAUGACACUACCGUGUGACGCACAGUUGAUGAACUGAUUACGUCACGUACAUUUCUGCAAUAUCCGUAUAGUAAGAUGAGUUCGCAACAUAUGUUGCAUGCAUGCACUUAAUGCGUGAUCCAAAACUAGGAAACAAUAUACAUUCAGGUUUGGCUCGUUUUAAAUAAUAAAAUACAACAUUUAAAGUCAUUUUGAUUAACUAAGACAUUAGAUGCAAAAGUUAAUAUGACUGUUUAGUAUGGAAAAAAGUAUUUGGGAUCACUCAUAGUAAGUGUCAUAUCGCCCUGUAACUAUUUGUCAAUUUUGUUUCUGCUACCAUCAUUUUUGACAAACCAUUCACCAAUGUCAAAGCGCCGAUCAGAAAUUGGUCAACAUUUCUUUUCUAGAAAUUUUCUGAGAACAGGUUUUCUUCAACAAGCAGCUUACAUUUCACCUUUUGACCAGAACCUGUCUAGAAUGUAGAACCGAGGGACAACAAAAAGGAUGUAGGUUUUUAUUUCAACUGACAUCCAGAUCUAGGUAUAUGUGUCUGGGUCAGCGGGGGUGCAAGAUCAAUUGAUUGCACACGAACAAACUUCGUGCGAGAAUUUCCCGCAUGCAAAUUACGCAAACAGCGCUGCUGAUUAUGAUGUCAUCGUGCACCACUCCCCUUCGGCCAAGUCCGGUCCGAACUCAGUUCUGUUUAAUGAUAUAAAUGAGCUCAUUAUGCAUUGGCUUCUUACAUGCGUAGUAUAAGUAUGAUAAAAAGGUAAGAUGGCCGCUUUUGGGUGCCAAAAGAAAGCGUCAAAAUUGAAGUUUUCGGUUUUGCCCACAGCUUAAAAUAGUAGAUAGCACCAUGACCCUUGAUUGAUCCAGAGGCAAGGAGUACUCAUUGUACAAAUAUACAUGUCUCCCAUGUGCACAAGUCCAUGAGUGAGGAAGACCCCUGUAAUGAACCUGCAGGAAUAUGAAACAGAUAUGGUGAAAGUUUUUAAUUCCAAAGAAACCGAAUAAAAUAAGUCUGAUGUGUUAGCUUCAUUGUGGCUAUAAACAACGAAAUCCUAAAUUAACUAAAACUAGCUCUGCUUCAUUGCAUGCCCCUCAAAAACAGGGUGCUUUGGUCAGAUUUUGUUUUCAUGGGUGGAGGCCGGGCAAUUUUUUGUACUGACUGCAGGGUUUAUUAAGUUACAAGCAGAUUUGUGCCAGUGGUUCAUUUCCAUUUGUGUCAUUACGAAGCUGGGAAAAAAGCGAUGAAAUUUGCUUGAUCAUUGUUAAAUAUAUAUCUGUAGUCGACAAUUUUGUUAAAGGUAGGGCCAUAGACUGGUUUUGUCAAGGGAAUGCUGAUUGGUAGGCAAAAUUAUCAAGAAAGAUACAAUUCAAGUCACCUGUAAAAGUUUCAGCUCUAUACAGUUCCUAU